rnacentral:rRNA from 1 species
CGGAGGAAAAGAAACCAACAGGGAUUGCCCUAGUAACGGCGAGUGAAGCGGCAACAGCUCAAAUUUGAAAUCUGGCUUUCGGGCCCGAGUUGUAAUUUGUAGAGGAUGAUUUUGAUGCGGUGCCUUCCGAGUUCCCUGGAACGGGACGCCAUAGAGGGUGAGAGCCCCGUCUGGUUGGAUGCCAAAUCUCUGUAAAUCUCCUUCGACGAGUCGAGUAGUUUGGGAAUGCUGCUCUAAAUGGGAGGUAUAUGUCUUCUAAAGCUAAAUACCGGCCAGAGACCGAUAGCGCACAAGUAGAGUGAUCGAAAGAUGAAAAGCACUUUGAAAAGAGAGUUAAAAAGUACGUGAAAUUGUUGAAAGGGAAGCGUUUAUGACCAGACUUGGGCUUGGUUAAUCAUCUGGGGUUCUCUCCAGUGCACUUUUCCAGUCCAGGCCAGCAUCAGUUUUCGCCGGGGGAUAAAGGCUUCGGGAAUGUGGCUCCCCUCGGGGAGUGUUAUAGCCCGUUGUGUAAUACCCUGGUGGGGACUGAGGUUCGCGCUUCUGCAAGGAUGCUGGCGUAAUGGUCAUCAACGACCCGUCUUGAAACACGGACCA